UACGUAGGGUGCAAGCGUUGUCCGGAAUUAUUGGGCGUAAAGAGCUCGUAGGCGGUCUGUUACGUCGGCUGUGAAAACCUGGGGCUCAACCCCGGACUUGCAGUGGGUACGGGCAGACUAGAGUGUGGUAGGGGAGACUGGAAUUCCUGGUGUAGCGGUGAAAUGCGCAGAUAUCAGGAGGAACACCGAUGGCGAAGGCAGGUCUCUGGGCCACUACUGACGCUGAGAAGCGAAAGCAUGGGGAGCGAACAGG
rnacentral:rRNA from 1 species